UACGGAGGGAGCUAGCGUUAUUCGGAAUGACUGGGCGUAAAGCGCACGUAGGCGGCUUUGUACGUAAGAGGUGAAAGCCUGGAGCUCAACUCCAGAAUUGCCUUUUAGACUGCAUCGCUUGAAUCAUGGAGAGGUGAGUGGAAUUCCGAGUGUAGAGGUGAAAUUCGUAGAUAUUCGGAAGAACACCAGUGGCGAAGGCGGCUCACUGGACAUGUAUUGACGCUGAGGUGCGAAAGCGUGGGGAGCAAACAGG
rnacentral:rRNA from 1 species